CCUCUCUCAGGGUCACACCUGGAGAGUUUCCAGUACUCUACCAGUUUUGAUUACAGGAGGGAGAGUUAAGCAGAGGCAGAUCCAUUCCAUUCCUAGCUUGGGCAGUGGCUAGCGAAUGGAAGGCGAUAUGUUACAAGG